UUUUGAGUAAAGACUGCUCAAUGUAUUUUAGAUAGCCGCAGACUUUUUACUGUGCUAAGGUAGCAUAAUCAUUAGCUUCUUAAUUAGAGGCUCGAAUGAACGAUCUAACAUUUCAUGUACUUUUUUACUUUAUAAAAUAAAACUUAUACUAAAUAUAAAAUAUAUUUAUAAAAAAAAUAGACGACAAGACCCUAUCGAACUUAACUGAAGUUUAGCUGGGGCAGCUAAUUAAACAUAAUUUUAAUUUUAAUAUUAACAUAAAUGACCCAAUAGUAUUGAGUAUAUGAUCAAGUUACCGUAGGGAUAACAGCGUAAUAUAUUUUUAAACUCAUAUUUAAAAAAAAGUUUGCGACCUCGAUGUUGAAUUAUAUCUCUCUUAUAACGCAAUAGUUUAAUAAGAAGGUCUGUUCGACCUUUUAAUUUUUACA
rnacentral:rRNA from 1 species